AGUUUCAGGACUUUAAAGUACAACAAAAGAAGUUGGCUUGUGGACAGAGAAGGAUUACUGUGAUGUCUCUUAGUUCCACAGCUUGCUGCGAUAACGUAGCUGUUCAGGGAAGAUGGUGCGAAGACGGAAUUUUGUGAAUAAGCUGUUGGUUUCGUUCCAGAGGACAGCCAAAUAACGGAGCAGACCUCACUAGUUUCAGAUCGAGUGCAACACAAUUUCAUCCCCUGAAACGGUGUUAUCUUACCAAGGACAUGUAGAAGGACCAAAACGGGACCGUGAGGCUCUAUGUCCCGUCCUGCUGCACCAGACCCCUGGGCCCUUUAUCCUUCCCCCAGCAGCAGCCAUUGCCGGGUGUUU